AGAGUUUGAUCCUGGCUCAGAAUGAACGCUGGCGGCAUGCCUAACACAUGCAAGUCGAACGAGAUUAUGACUUCGGUUGUAGUCUAGUGGCGCACGGGUGCGUAACGCGUGGGAAUCUGCCCUUGGGUUCGGAAUAACAGUGAGAAAUUACUGCUAAUACCGGAUAAUGUCGCAAGACCAAAGAUUUAUUGCCCAGGGAUGAGCCCGCGUAAGAUUAGCUAGUUGGUGGGGUAAAGGCCUACCAAGGCGACGAUCUUUAGCUGGUCUGAGAGGAUGAUCAGCCACACUGGGACUGAGACACGGCCCAGACUCCUACGGGAGGCAGCAGUGGGGAAUAUUGGACAAUGGGCGAAAGCCUGAUCCAGCAAUGCCGCGUGAGUGAUGAAGGCCUUAGGGUUGUAAAGCUCUUCUACUCGGGAAGAUAAUGACUGUACCGGGAGAAUAAGCCCCGGCUAACUCCGUGCCAGCAGCCGCGGUAAUACGGAGGGGGCUAGCGUUAUUCGGAAUUACUGGGCGUAAGGCGUACGUAGGCGGUGGUUCAAGUCAGAGGUGAAAGCCCGGAGCUCAACUCCGGAACUGCCUUUGAAACUAGAUCGCUAGAACAUCGGAGAGGUAAGUGGAAUUCCGAGUGUAGAGGUGAAAUUCGUAGAUAUUCGGAAGAACACCAGUGGCGAAAGCGGCUUACUGGACGAUUGUUGACGCUGAGGUACGAAAGCGUGGGGAGCAAACCGGAUUAGAUACCCUGGUAGUCCACGCCGUAACGAUGAUAACUAGCUGUUGGGUCCUCAUAGACGCGUCAGUGGCGCAGCUAACGCAUUAAGUUAUCCGCCUGGGGGAGUACGGUCGCAAGAUUAAAACUCCAGACGAUG
rnacentral:rRNA from 1 species